CGCAUAUUCCCUCCGUUCUAAAAUUCUUGUCUUAAGUUUGUCUAAAGAUGAAUGUAUCUAAAUACUAAAACAUGACUAGAUUCAUUUAUAUCUAGACAAAUUUAAGACAAGAAUUUUGAAACAGAGGAAGUAUGUG
rfam:Hordeum vulgare subsp. vulgare, WGS project CAJW01000000 data, contig: morex_contig_1585858